GGCGGUGUGAGAGACGGAGGGGGCGGCGCGCGCCGGGUACGCGCGCGGGCGACCAUGGCGCUCGCCCGGCUGGAGCGAGUACUUUAACCCCGGGAGGCGACAGCAGCUGCGGCGGCCGGGGAGCGAGCCUCGAGCGGGCGGGCCCCUGCCUGAGGGAAGGGAGGAAGGGGCGGGGAGAGCUCCUGAGGGAGGCCUGUCGGCCGCGGGCGGGCGGGCAGUGCAGUGCAGCGCAGCACCGAGCGGGGCCCGCGGGUCCAUGAGGAGGCCCCGGGACCAUGGGCUCCAGGAUCAAGCAAAACCCAGAGACUACAUUUGAAGUGUAUGUGGAAGUGGCUUAUCCUAGGACAGGUGGCACUCUUUCAGAUCCUGAGGUGCAGAGGCAAUUCCCAGAGGACUACAGUGACCAGCUACCUCCCCUGGUUCGAGGUAUUCUAUAAGCUCCUUAACAUCUUGGCAGAUUACACGACGAAACGACAGGAAAGUCAGUGGAAUGAACUUCUUGAAACUCUGCACAGACUUCCCAUCCCUGAUCCUGGAGUGUCUGUUCACCUCAGUGUGCAUUCUUACUUCACUGUGCCUGAUAGCAGAGAGCUUCCCAGCAUACCUGAGAAUAGAAAUCUGACAGAAUAUUUUGUGGCUGUGGAUGUGAACAACAUGUUGCAUCUGUACGCCAGCAUGCUGUAUGAACGCCGGAUCCUCAUCAUCUGCAGCAAGCUCAGUACAUUGACGGCCUGCAUCCACGGCUCAGCUGCCAUGCUCUACCCUAUGUACUGGCAGCAUGUGUACAUCCCUGUGCUGCCCCCACAUCUGCUGGACUACUGCUGUGCUCCCAUGCCCUACCUCAUAGGAAUCCAUUUAAGUUUAAUGGAGAAGGUCAGGAACAUGGCCCUCGAUGAUGUUGUGAUCUUGAACGUGGACACCAACACCCUGGAAACCCCUUUUGAUGACCUCCAGAGCCUCCCAAAUGAUGUGAUCUCCUCCCUGAAGAACAGGCUGAAGAAGGUCUCUACAACCACAGGUGAUGGGGUGGCCAGAGCCUUCCUCAAGGCCCAGGCUGCUUUCUUUGGCAGCUACCGGAAUGCACUGAAAAUUGAGCCAGAAGAACCCAUCACUUUCAGUGAGGAAGCCUUUGUAUCCCACUACCGCUCUGGAGCCAUGAAACAGUUCCUACAGAAUGCCACACAGUUGCAGCUCUUCAAGCAGUUUAUCGAUGGCCGACUAGACCUUCUCAAUUCCGGUGAAGGUUUCAGCGAUGUCUUUGAGGAGGAAAUCAACAUGGGAGAGUAUGCCGGCAGUGAUAAACUGUACCAUCAGUGGCUGUCCACAGUCAGGAAAGGAAGUGGUGCGAUUCUGAAUACUGUAAAAACAAAAGCUAACCCAGCCAUGAAGACUGUCUACAAGUUUGCAAAAGAUCAUGCAAAAAUGGGAAUAAAGGAGGUGAAAAACCGCUUGAAGCAAAAGGACAUCACGGAGAACGGCUGUGUGUCCUCUGCAGAAGAUCCACUGCCAAAGACCAUGCCAUCCCCACAGGCAGAGACCCAGGACCCCAGACUUCGAGAAGACCGGAGACCAAUCACAGUCCACUUUGGGCAGGUACGGCCUCCUCGUCCACAUGUCGUCAGGAGACCCAAGAGCAACAUCACUGUGGAAGGCAGGAGGACAUCUGUCUCAAGCCCUGAGCACCUGGUAAAGCCCUUGCGACACUAUGCUGUCUUCCUCUCUGAAGACUCCUCUGAUGAGGAAUGCCGACGGGAAGAGGCCCCCAGCACUGGCUUCACUGAAAGCCUUCUCUUCUCUGCUCCCUUUGAAUGGUCUCUCUUCCUCUUUCCAGCUCCUUGGGCUCAGCCUGGUGACUCUUUGGGUGCAGUGGGGAGCAUGGGGGACUGGGGCUGCUUGCUGCCAUGGGGAGAAACGUUCCUGGGUGCCAACUUUCAGGGUGGCUGCCAUGUCUACAGGCCUUCUCUCAGGCUCGUACUGUGCCGGCCCCACAGGGCUGUGACAGCAAAGGUAUCAGGUGAGACUGAAGCACUGAUCCCCAUUCCUUACAAGGGGAGACGACUCCAUCAGUGGAACUGGCGACCACAGUAAGCCUGACUCCUGACCCUCCUUUUCUCAGUGCAUCUUAGAAAGCCAUGGAGAUAGGAAGGCAGAUGUAAAGUAAAAGGCCAUAUACAUAUACAUCUGUCGUCUCUGCUGAGGUAGAAGGACUGUGAGUUUGAGGCUAGCCUGGGAUACAUAGCAAAUUCCAGGCCAGUCUGAGCUAUAUACAUGAGCCUUUCUAAAUAUAUAUACUAUGCAUACACACACACACACACACACACACACACACACGUUAUGAUCUACUUGGGUUUCUUUCUUUUUCUUUUUUUUCUGAGACAGGGUUUCUCUGUGUAGCCCUGGCUGUCCUGGAACACAUUCUAAAACUCAGAGAUCUGCCUGCCUCUGCCUCCUGAGUGCUGGGUUUAAAGGCAUACACACCACCAGCACUACCUAGGUUUCCUAAAAGUAAUUUCAUCUUAACUCUAUUAUUUUAUGACGUAAGUUACAUACAAAUUCCAAACACCAUUUUUCUUUUCAAGGAAAAGAAGGCUUACCUUACAUACAAAUGGACUUCCCAGGAGCCUCAGCGAUGUGCCCACAACUACCAGAGUGCCAGCUGCUGUCCACCUCACAGUCAGGGGUCCUUGUCGCCCUCCACUGUCCCCAUCCUCAGCCCCUCCCAGCUCUCUGACCUUAGCAAGUUCCCAGCAUCAGAUCUGCUCCCUAUGGCUUCAUCCUGGACCUUCUAAGUCAAGGCUGCUCUGCCCCCUGCUCGUUUCCUGCUGCCAGCUCACUGGCCACAGCCAUACCGGACAUUGAAAGAAUCAGACAGCGCAGAAGGUGAUGAGACCGAGAGUCCAGAGCAGCUAGUUCGAGAACCCUGGGGACCUACCCCUGCUCCACCUGACCGAGCUGCCAGCAUUGACCUUCUAGAAGAUGUCUUCAGCAGCCUAGACGUGGAGGCACCACUGCAGCCGCUGGGCCAAGCCAAGAGCCUGGAGGAUCUCCGGGCCCCCAAAGACUUGCGGGAACAGCCAGGGAGCUUUGAUUACCAGAGACUGGACCUGUGCAGAAGUGAGAGGGGCCUUAGCAUGGCUGCAGCCUUGAAGCUUGCUCAUCCAUAUACUAAGCUCUGGAGUCUGGGUCAGGACGACAUGGCCAUCCCCAGCAAGCCCUCCAUAACCUCCCCUGAGAAGCCCUCAGCUCUGCUUGGUACUUCCCCAGCCCUGCCUCUCAGACCCCAGAACCAGGAGGGCAUCCUGAGCCCCAGCAUCAAGGAGGAGACUCCCAUCCCAACUCCGGGCAGCAUCACCAUUCCCAGGCCACAAGGCAGAAAGACCCCUGAGCUGGGCAUCGUGCCUCCACCACCCACUGCCCGGCCAGCCAAGCUCCAGGCUGCUGGCGGCCCACUUGGUGACUUCUCUUCAGAGCCACUGCAGAUGGACCGGGAAAGACAAGCCGCUCUGAGUCCAGCCCUCCUGUCAGGGCUGCUCCCCAGAGCUGUCCCCCAAGGUCCCACAGAACUUCUGCAGCCACCCAGCCCAGCCCCAGGAGCUGCAGGCACAGGCAGCGAUGCCCUGCUCGCUCUCCUGGAUCCACUUAACACAGCCUGGUCAGGCAGCACCAUCCCAUCACAUCCUGCUACCCCCAGUGCAGCCACCCCAUUCAUCCCUCAGCUCAGCUUCCCCCCAACAGUGACACCCACCCCUUUUGUACAGACACCACUCAAUCCCUUUGUCCCAUCUGUGCCAGUAGUACCACCCUCCAUGCCCCUGAGCUCUACACCAGCCAGGCCUUUUGGGACCCCUCCAGCAUCCCUAGGGCCAGCAUAUGCACCUAGCAUUCUAUUGUCUAGUUCUGGCUUCUAUGCCCCUCACAGGUCUCAGCCCAACCUCUCUGCUCUCUCCAUGCCCAACCUCUUUGGCCAGAUCCCAAUGGGUGCCCACACUAGUCCCCUGCAGCCACUUGGCCCCCCAGCCGUUGCCCCCUCCAGGAUCCGAACAUUGCCUCUGGCCCGCUCAAGUGCCAGGGCUGCUGAGGCCAAGCAGGGGUUGGCCCUGAGGCCUGGUGAAUCCCCACUGUUGCCUCCCAGACCGCCCCAGAGCCUACAGCCAACCCCGCAGCCCUCUGUUCCUACACAGGCCAGAGACCCCUUUGAGGAUUUGCUGCGAAAAACCAAGCAAGAUGUGAGCCCAAGCCCAGCCCCGGCCCUGGCCCCAGCCUCCACCUCCGUGGAGCAGCUCCGCAGACAGUGGGAGACCUUUGAGUGAGCAGGCCUGUGCCACUGUCUAAUACUGUGCCUCCCCAACGUCCCAUUUCUAGCCAGGCUUCAUGGGGCAAAGGGACUCUGCCCCCUCCUCCACAGCCCAUCUCUGAGGCCUGGCCCUGGGAAUGGCCAUCCCAGAAGAGCUGCCUGCCGCCACCCUUGGCACCCUGUGUGGGUUUUGCACUAUAUGUCAACUGGACCAGCUGUAUCCUAUCCUCCCAUAGCCCAAGAGGAGUCAAGAAGCUCAAGGCUGCUUUCAAGCCCAGCUCUCCUCCUUUGCUGGGCCCCACCCCACAGGGCAGAUGUCAGUAACAACCUGUGUAAGCACAGCUUUGGGGGACAUGGGUGUUUGGGGGGCUGAAAUGAGGCCCACUCCUAGGCUGGCAUUUCUCCCUGGUGGUCAUCUCCAAACCUCUCUAGCAAUAUACUCUUUCCUGAGUCUUCACCUAACCACCAACUGGAGUUGUUCCUGAAGGGUCAGGGGUCUGGAGACCUAAUGGUCAGCAAACCCAGCCCCAGCCAGCUCUUCCAGGGGUUGGGAACACCAGCAACUCUAACUUAUAAGAGAAGCUCCAAACCUGAGUCUUAGGAGCCGCCCUCAGCUCUCUGCCACCCUCAUACCUCUGGGCUCUCGUGUCAGUCAAAGCUCAGGCCCAGCCUCCUGCCACUUGGAGCUUUAUGGGCAGAGCUGGGCAGCAGUGACCCAGAUUCCAACUCAAAGGACAAGCUUCCUGCCACAGACAAAGGGAGGGAGGCACAGCUGUUAGAGCUCCUGGGUCAGGACCAGGUGGGGCCCCAGGGCUCCCCAGGUUCCCCCAUGGAGUGAAGAUACACGUGGCCUCUGAGCGUGCGGCAAGUGGGGGCCUGGAAGCCAGCCCUCCCCACUCUCUCCAGCUUCUCGACAGCGCAGAAAUUCCUGAGCCCAAGUCACCAAAGUUAUAAUGAAAUGUUUUGUUAUUUUUUCUUUGAUCUUGCUUUUCCUUUUUACCUUAUUGAUUUGAUGAAUCUUGAAAAUUGAUUCCUUUCAAUAAACCAAGGUAAAACACAGA